rnacentral:rRNA from 1 species
UACGGUAGGUGGCAAGCGUUGUCCGGAAUUAUUGGGCGUAAAGCGCGCGCAGGCGGUCCUUUAAGUCUGAUGUGAAAGCCCACGGCUCAACCGUGGAGGGUCAUUGGAAACUGGGGGACUUGAGUGCAGAAGAGGAAAGCGGAAUUCCACGUGUAGCGGUGAAAUGCGUAGAGAUGUGGAGGAACACCAGUGGCGAAGGCGGCUUUCUGGUCUGUAACUGACGCUGAGGCGCGAAAGCGUGGGGAGCAAACAGG